rnacentral:tRNA from 1 species
GCCCAGGUGGUGGAACUGGUAUACACGUACGUUUGAGGGGCGUAUGGGGCAACCCUUGCGGGUUCGAGUCCCGCCCUGGGCA